rnacentral:rRNA from 1 species
CUCAGGAUGAACGCUGGCUACAGGCUUAACACAUGCAAGUCGAGGGGUUUCGAGGGAGCUUGCUUCCUAGAGACUACCGGCGCGCGGGUGAGUAACGCGUAUCCAACCUGCCCUUCAUAUUGGGAUAGCCUCUCGAAAGGGAGAUUAAUACCGAAUAACAUAGUUUACGUUGCCUGACCAGACUAUGAAAGCUCCGGCGAUGAAGGAUGGGGAUGCGUUCCAUUAGGUAGUAGGCGGGGUAACGGCCCACCUAGCCUACGAUGGAUAGGGGUUCUGAGAGGAAGGUCCCCCACAGCUGGAACUGAAACGCGGUCCAGACUCCUACCGGAGGCAACGCUGAGGAAUAUUGGUCAAUGGGCGCAAGCCUGAACCAACCAAGUAGCGUGAAGGAUGACUGCCCUAUGGGUUGUAAACUUCUUUUAUACGCGAACAACCGCAGGUACGUGUACCUGUCUGCGUGUACCGUAUGAAUAAGCAUCGGCUAACUCCGUGCCACCAGCCGCGGUAAUACGGAGGAUGCGAGCGUUAUCCGGAUUUAUUGGGUUUAAAGGGAGCGUACGUGGCCUGUUAACUCAUCUGUGAAAUACUGUAUCUCAACUACAGCCGUGCUGUUGGAACUGUCGGGCUUGAGUGCACAGGAAGGAAAGGUGGAAUUCAUGGUGUAGCGGAGAAAUGUUUAGAUAUUCAUGAAGAACUCCGAUUGCGAAGGCAGCCCUUCUGGGGUGCAACUGACACUGAUGCUCGAAAGUGUGGGUAUCGAACAGGAUUAGAUACCCUGGUAGUCCACACAGUAAACUAUGGAUACUCGCUGCCGGCGAUACACGGUCGGUGGCCUAGCGAAAGCGUUAAGUAUCCCACCUGGGGAGUACGCCGGCAACGGUGAAACUCAAAGGAAUUGACGGGGGCCCGCACAAGCGGAGGAACAUGUGGUUUAAUUUGAUGAUACGCGAGGAACCUCACCCAGGCUCGAACGGCAAGCUGAAUGUUACCAGAGACGGUUUCAGUUUUCGGACAUUUUGUCGAGGUGCUGCAUGGUGGUCGUCAGCUCGUGCCGUGAGGUGUCGGCUUAAGUGCCAUAACGAGCGCAACCCCUGCUGUCAGUUGCCAUCGGGUAAUGCCGGGCACUCUGGCGGGACUGCCAUCGCAAGAUGUGAGGAAGGUGGGGAUGACGUCAAAUCAGCACGGCCCUUACGUUUGGGGCUACACACGUGUUACAAUGGGGAGUACAGAGGGAUGCCACCUGGCGA